CAAGAAACCAACCUUUUCAAGAGACCCACAAGGCAGAAAUCAUAUCAAGUCUAGGUACUGUUCCUCGAUAGCUGAAAAUCUACCACCUUCAGAACUUUAUACAUGGACUCAUGAACAUGACAGGCAGUGAAGGACAGAGGAUACUCUGGAUAAACAUUUGAAUUCAACUCAUAAAGAUUUCAUACUGAUACAGAGUGAAAUAAGCAGAACCAGAAGAAGAAUAUAUUCAAUGAAUAACAUGUAAAUUAAAGGAUUAUUAAAAAGAAAGCCAAACUCCAAGUAACUGAAAAACCAAUAAUGGUACUGAAGAAUAGAUGAGACAUGCUUCCCUUCUGUCAGCAUAAAGGAUCUUAUGUCAGUAUAAAGGGCAUUGCAAUAA